GAUGAACGCUAGCUACAGGCUUAACACAUGCAAGUCGCGGGGCAGCAUGGGGGUUGCUUGCAAUCCCCGAUGGCGACCGGCGCACGGGUGAGUAACGCGUAUCCAACCUGCCCUUCACCACGGCAUAACCCGGCGAAAGUCGGACUAAUACCGUAUGUUGUCCAUUGACUGCAUCCGAUUUGGACGAACUGGUUGGCGGUGAAGGAGGGGGAUGCGUCCGAUUUGCUGGACGGCGGGGUGACGGCCCACCGGGGCGCCGAUAGGUAGGGGUUCCGAGAGGAAGGUCCCCGACACUGGAACUGAGACACGGUCCAGACUCCUACGGGAGGCAGCAGUGAGGAAUAUUGGUCAAUGGGCGUAAGUCUGAACCAGCCAAGUAGCGUGCAGGAUGACGGCCCUAUGGGUUGUAAACUGCUUUUAUGCGGGGAUAAAGUGGCCCACGUGUGGGUUUUUGCAGGUACCGCAUGAAUAAGGACCGGCUAAUUCCGUG
rnacentral:rRNA from 1 species